rnacentral:rRNA from 1 species
UACGUAUGGUGCGAGCGUUAUCCGGAUUUACUGGGUGUAAAGGGAGCGCAGGCGGCACGACAAGCCUGAUGUGAAAGCCCGCGGCCCAACCGCGGGACUGCAUUGGGAACUACCGGGCUGGAGUGCCGGAGAGGUAGGCGGAAUUCCUAGUGUAGCGGUGAAAUGCGUAGAUAUUAGGAGGAACACCAGUGGCGAAGGCGGCCUACUGGACGGUGACUGACGCUGAGGCUCGAAAGCGUGGGGAGCAAACAGG